CAAAGAAAAGUUGCUCACAAAAGAAGAAAUCACACACUAACCAUGAAGCAAUGCCAAGUUUGGCUUUUGCUAACUGUCUCUAUUAGCAGUUAUAGUCCCCGAGUUUGGAAAACACAAAUGCUGAUUACUAUGAAGCAGCUCUGAGUUGCUGACUGUUGCCUUUGGCUAGAGAGAUGGAUGACACUGAAAGGUCUCACAGGAUCCUCAAUGAAAAAGUAAACACGGAAGAAAAUGAGAACUUGUCUCAUGCUGGGUCUCCAUGAUGAGGGUCAUACUGUCAUCAAUCGAUAUCUGCUACUGCUUCUUGUAGCUGUAUAUCAC